rnacentral:lncRNA from 1 species
CUCUUCCUCCAGGAGCCGGGACCAAAAUAACCGGGCGGGAGGGGACACCUCGCAGGGUCAUCCUCCUCUAAGAUUCCAGGACCAUGAUCAUCCCUCUAUUGCUACUUCUUAGAUCAGCUUGUAAUGUCCAUCUCCCCCACCAGACUGCGUCUCCAGCAUCUCUGAGUCCCCAGGGCCUGGCCUGGGGCUUGCUACAUGGUGGGUGCUCAGUAACUGUGAGGUAAAUAAAUGAAUGAAUUAACC